GAUGAACGCUGGCGGCGUGCCUAAUACAUGCAAGUCGAGCGAACAGACGAGGAGCUUGCUCCUCUGACGUUAGCGGCGGACGGGGGAGUAACACGUGGAUAACCUACCUAUAAGACUGGGAUAACUUCGGGAAACCGGAGCUAAUACCGGAUAAUAUAUUGAACCGCAUGGUUCAAUAGUGAAAUUCGGUUUUUCUGUCACUUAUAGAUGGAUCCGCGCCGCAUUAGCUAGUUGGUAAGGUAACGGCUUACCAAGGCAAGGAUGCGUAGCCGACCUGAGAGGGGGAGCGGCCACGCUGGAACGGAGACACGGUCAAGACUCCUACGGGAGGCAGCAGUAGGGAAUCGUCCGCAAUGGGCGAAAGGCUGACGGAGCAACGCCGCGUGAGUGAUGAAGGUCUUCGGAUCGUAAAGCUGUGUUAUUAGGGAAGAACAAAUGUGUAAGUAACUAGGCACGUCUUGACGGUACCUAAUCAGAAAGCCACGGCUAACUACGUG
rnacentral:rRNA from 1 species